AGUUCGAAAUCCAAAUUUUGAUUUUAUGGUGCGCAUCUGUUAACCAGUAAUG
rnacentral:tRNA from 1 species